AGGACUAUAGUUAAUUAUAACAUUUGAUUUGCAUUCAAAAAGUAUUGAUCUAAACAAUUAGUCUUA
rnacentral:tRNA from 1 species